rnacentral:rRNA from 1 species
GACGUAGGAGACGAGCGUUGUCCGGAUUUACUGGACGUAAAGCGUGCGUAGGCGGUUUUGUAAGUUUGGUGUGAAAUCUCCCGGCUCAACUGGGAGGGUGCGCCGAAAACUGCAAGGCUGGAGUGUGGGAGAGGUAGGCGGAAUUCCUGGUGUAGCGGUGAAAUGCGUAGAUAUCAGGAGGAACACCUGUGGUGUAGACGGCUUACUGGACCAUGACUGACGCUGAGGCACGAAAGCGUGGGGAGCAAACAGG